UGGGAGCUGCUGCCGCCUGGUCCACGGACUUUAUUUUGGGGAACAGGAGGCCUACAAUACGGGAGUCAGCACACCGAGACUGAUGGCUCAGCUGCGGUGCUCUACGUUGAUGUCAGUAAAUCUCCCAGCCCGUCUGCAACAGAGUGAAUUUAAGUCAACAGCAGGCCUGACUUCUCUUGUUGACAGAUGGGAUUACGGGCUGAAAGCAGAACGCGGUACACCGGGAUUCUCACGCAGAAGGACCUCACUAGUAACUCCGGGAUAUGGAGCCUAAAGAAUGUUCUGACGGGUUGGUAAAGACAGGAGAGAGCAAAGAAGAAUCAAGAAUGAUGAUGAGCUUUUUGCCCUGGGCACCUAGAAGGAGCUGUAUGGAGGUGGACGAUCACGGGGCAGCGGUGCGAUCCCUUACCUCAGAGAUACAAGUCAGACGUGGGAGGAACACUCGUCUAUGCUCUGGCCCAUGUAUCUCCGUUUUCAUCUCCGGUUGUGUCUAAUACAAGCUUGGACAGUGUGUUCUAGCCCAGCCACCGAACACGCAGCCUCCUCGAUCAGAAUGUACACCUGAAUCACUUUCUACUGAAAUUGUAGAGAUUAUCCUACUGAUGUAGUGGAAACACCGCAUCGGGAUGAAAACAGACCGCUAAAAGCAUGACCCUAACUGCAGUACUGUAGCAACGCUUUCUCCUUUCGAGAUAGGAGGUGGAAACCCCGGCCAUUUUGUCCACUGCUCUAUCUACAGUCAGACAUCAGAACAGUUCCCAGUUCACAGUGUGUCCGAAAUAGGCAUGGAAACACUGAAUCAUCUUACUUAACUCCCAGUGAUCUUUUCAGCACACGCCGCACUGCGUGGGAAUGGACUGUUACCAAGGAAACACGCACGGUGUGGUCUGAGGAUGCCACACGUUCCCUGACGGACUGUAACUUACCUGCCUCCUCCGCUAACACUGUGUCUCCAGUUAAGUGACUGUAACGAAGACGGCUUCCAGAAAUACAGAAGCUGCCAUAAGGAUGCAGAACAAAUCAUCCCAGUAUUUAAAGAAUUCCAGAUAAUCUCCGCAGAGGCAGUGGGGGGGUGCAUAGGGGACAAUUCAGAAUUAGGACAGCGAAGAAAUAAUACUUUA